UUUUUUUUUUUUUUUUUUUUUUUACAUAUAUCUCUAUUAUAAUAGGUCCCAUUAAUUAGAAUUGUUCUAUUUCAACCUUCUGCAACUUAAACAGUAAGUCCUUGCAGGAUAGUGAAAAGCCUUUUUCAUGUUGAAUUGCUUCAUACAUAUGAGAUUUAAAGUGAUGAAUAUGCGUGUUCAUUCGUUUGUUCUUGAAAAUAUGAAAGUACAUUUGAGUUUUUGUAUUUUUCUAUUCAUUAAUUUUAAAUGCCAAAUAAAUUAUUACUUUUCUACAUCCAUUAAAUGGGGAUAACUCUUAUCUCAUUAGUUUACUGUGUAAAUAAAUGAGAUAAAGUAUAUAACAUAUUCUAGAUGCACAUGUAAAGUAUCAAGACAUGUUAGAUAUUACUAAUACUAAAUAAUACCACAUUCUCUAUUACAAAUUUCUAUAAAAAUUGCAUUUUUCAUAUAAAAUUUUGGCUGUGACCAUAUAUGUGGGCACUUAUGUAUUUGUUUACAGACCUAUCAGUUGAUUAUGCUUUUUCUGUAUUUUUUUCUGAGAAUAGAAAUGUUAAAAAACUUUCAUUCAAUGCCUGCAAAUAAAUUAACUCAAAGAUGUUCAAUUCUAGAAGGAAACUUACAAAUUAUCUUGCCUGAUAUGCUCAUAUUAUGAAUAUAUAACUGGAGGAACAAAAAAAUUAAAAAACAUAUUUAGGCCACUUUGGGGGGAUUCAGUUUAUUAAAUAAUAUCUCAAGUGCUCAAUAAUAUUUGCGAUAUCCUUCCUUUCAGUGCUAGAGUAUUCAGCAAUAUACUGUGUUUGCCACCAGAAGGUGCUACAGGGAAAUAAAACCAGCCUGUUUGAAUGCUUUGUACUAGUAUUUUUCCAUUUGCUCUUGGUGGUGUCCUCUCUAGAUCAUUUCCUCCAUUCAGUAAUAGGUUUUCAUAUGGUAUCAAUAUCCUAUCUAUGAAAUUUCAAGGAGCUGACCAUGGGCAAAAAAAGCAGGAAAUAGAGAAGUCUUUAGAAAUAGCAUUAUAUGAAAUAUUUGAGAACAUAAUAUUCAUGUAAUUGAAGAUACUGUAUAAAUUAAGCUUUGCAAUUUCUGUUAAAGUCAACUUCAUAAAGAAAGUUUAUGUUCUGUGCUAAUUCAGAUGUCAAAUCUUUCAAAAGUGAAUUUACACUCCCUUUAAAAUAUGGUAGAACUGAGAAUGCUAUUGUGGAAUGCAUAAUUCUAGAGUGAGUACAUUUUAUAAUCUUGUCAGUAAAUUCACUAACCUUAAAAGGUUUAUUGUCUUUAAGCUUUCCUAAGUAAAAAAUAUCACCAGGUGUCUGUGUGUAUUUUCUUCACAUAGUUUAUUUCAAGAUAAUUUAAGCAUCUAGGCGAUACUGGUAUUAAACUUUUUUCCAUUGAGGAUUUCCCUUUUCUUUUCCAUUUGGGAAAUACAACAUGCUUCCCAGAUUCCAAAUUUCACUGCUUAUUUUUAUGACUACUAUAAAAGGAUAAGAAGAGGAUAAAAUAGUAAAAGGGUAAUAAUAUUAUCCUGGGAGCUAUUUCUGUAUCUCAGUGCUAAAAGCCAUCAAACUAUGUAGACAUUUUUAAAAGUUCUUUUGUAAUAUUCAUAUAACUGACGAAAAUGUGUUCAUUUAUCAUUUCAGCAGGAAAAAGUAUAAAAUUUCUCUGGAUAUUUUUCUGGACAUUUGCUGUGUACAUUUUCAUUUAACAUGCCUUUGCAAGUUAGAUAGUUUCCCCAGAUUUUUUUUUCUUUUAAUUUCAUGUGCUCAGUAAAAAUGUGGCAGUCUUAAGCCCAAUGCUGCAAACUAUACUGGUAAAAUAGGGUGGAAAUCAGAGAAAGUGGUAGUUGUAGAGAGCUUGCUCGCAAACCAUUCAAAAUUUGGAAAGGAAAAAAAAAAA
rnacentral:lncRNA from 1 species